GGGGGUGCACCGGUUUCGACUGGUACGCUUCGGGAUGUAUAUUGCAGGUGGAGAGGCCGGAACUCCUAAUAUGUUCGGCAAACUUUUAACUGCCAACUACGACAGUUACGAUUACGCCCUCGCGGCAUAAUCGCGUGGAACAGUUCCCGCCGCCUUGAGGGGCUGUCUCCGCGUCGCAAUCGAGGCUGGUUAUUACGCGGCGUCCGGACGCGGUGUAACAAGAUAUUCCCGAACUAAGGGCAGGAAGCGCGCCGUACCGCAAACCCUGCUCCGACACGCGAUGUAUUCGCUUACGUGCGGCUAAACCUGUAGAGAUGUAUGUUUCGCGUAUUAGGACGCGGGUCCGACUCCCGCCACCUCCAUUC
rnacentral:tmRNA from 1 species